rnacentral:rRNA from 1 species
GACGAACGCUGGCGGCGUGCCUAAUACAUGCAAGUAGAACGCUGAAGGAGGAGCUUGCUUCUCUGGAUGAGUUGCGAACGGGUGAGUAACGCGUAGGUAACCUGCCUGGUAGCGGGGGAUAACUAAUGGAAACGAUAGCUAAUACCGCAUAAGAGUAGAUGUUGCAUGACAUUUGCUUAAAAGGUGCAAUUGCAUCACUACCAGAUGGACCUGCGUUGUAUUAGCUAGUUGGUGAGGUAACGGCUCACCAAGGCGACGAUACAUAGCCGACCUGAGAGGGUGAUCGGCCACACUGGGACUGAGACACGGCCCAGACUCCUACGGGAGGCAGCAGUAGGGAAUCUUCGGCAAUGGACGGAAGUCUGACCGAGCAACGCCGCGUGAGUGAAGAAGGUUUUCGGAUCGUAAAGCUCUGUUGUAAGAGAAGAACGAGUGUGAGAGUGGAAAGUUCACACUGUGACGGUAUCUUACCAGAAAGGGACGGCUAACUACGUG